AAUACGUUCCCGGGCCUUGUACACNCCGCCCGUCACACCACGAAAGUCGGCAACACCCGAAGCCGGUGGCCCAACCCCUCGGGGAGGGAGCCGUCGAAGGUGGGGUUGGCCGAUUCGGGUG
rnacentral:rRNA from 1 species